UACGUCUCACGUAACUGGCGAAAAGCUGGAGUGAUUUUCAAAAAUGCCCCACAAUGGUGCGUUUUGGUCAGUCGGCGAAAGGUGGGCAUCCACCGGGAAACGUGAGAUUUCAAUAGCCGUUCGCCUGGGCAGCCCUC
rnacentral:ncRNA from 2 species